AAGUCAACUUGAAUUUGGGUUUUUAACUUAGAUUUGGGUGGCGGACGGGUGAGUAACGCGUAAAGAACUUGCCUCACAGCUAGGGACAACAUUUAGAAAUGAAUGCUAAUACCUGAUAUUAUGAUUUUAAGGCAUCUUAGAAUUAUGAAAGCUAUAUGCGCUGUGAGAGAGCUUUGCGUCCCAUUAGCUAGUUGGAGAGGUAACAGCUCACCAAGGCGAUGAUGGGUAGCCGGUCUGAGAGGGUGAACGGCCACAAGGGGACUGAGACACGGCCCUUACUCCUACGGGAGGCAGCAGUGGGGAAUAUUGGACAAUGGACCGAGAGUCUGAUCCAGCAAUUCUGUGUGCACGAUGAAGUUUUUCGGAAUGUAAAGUGCUUUCAGUUGGGAAGAAAGAAAUGACGGUACCAACAGAAGAAGUGACGGCUAAAUACGUGCCAGCAGCCGCGGUAAUACGUAUGUCACGAGCGUUAUCCGGAUUUAUUGGGCGUAAAGCGCGUCUAGGUGGUUAUGUAAGUCUGAUGUGAAAAUGCAGGGCUCAACUCUGUAUUGCGUUGGAAACUGUAUAACUAGAGUACUGGAGAGGUAAGCGGAACUACAAGUGUAGAGGUGAAAUUCGUAGAUAUUUGUAGGAAUGCCGAUGGGGAAGCCAGCUUACUGGACAGAUACUGACGCUAAAGCGCGAAAGCGUG
rnacentral:rRNA from 1 species